rnacentral:lncRNA from 1 species
UCUAAAGAUCCUGUGUCCAAAUACACUCACAUUCUUGGGUAUUUAAGGACUUCAAUAUAUGAAUUUUUGGGGAGACAUAAUUGGGCACACAGCAUGGGUUAAAGAAAGUGGAAAUUGUAUCCUUUGACUUUUUUUUCUCCACCUUUCUGUGUAAGAAGGAAAGGAUAUCUUUUGGAAAAAAGAUACGGAGAAGAAAAUGCCCAGGAAUGUGUAGAAGCAAGGAUCCUGCAUUGUUCUUCUGACAUGCCUUUCACCUUCCGCCAUGAUUGAGGCCUCUCCAGCCACAUGGAACCGUGAGUCCAUUAAACCUCUUUUUCCUUAUAAAUUACCCAGUCUUGGGUAUGUCUUUAUCAGCAGCAUGAGAACGAACUAAUAUACAAGGGCUGAUCUCAAACUCCUGACCUCAAGCAAUCCUCCUACCUUGGCAUCCCAAAGUAUUGGGAUUACAGGCGUGAACUACUGCACCUGGCCUAAGGUCAAUUCUUGAAUACAGAGACUGAGUAAAGAUAGGACGUUGAUAAUUUGGACUCUUAAACAUAAACCAACUCUUUAAAGCCUUUACAUCAUCUCAUCAGUGUUGCCUGAAGUUUUUGACCAAGUAGCUCAAUUUGCUAGGGCUGCUGUAACAAAGUAUCACAAACUGGAUAGUUUAAACAACAGACAUUUGCCUCACAGUUCCUGAGGCUACAAGUCCAAGAUCAAGGUGUCAGCGGGACUGAUUCCUUCUGAGGGCUGUGAGGAGAAUCUGUCCCAGGACCCUCGCCUAGCUUCUGACAGUUUGCUGGCUACCUUCGGAGUUCCUUGGCUUGUAAAAGCAUUACCCCAAUGUCCGCCUUUACCUUCAAAAGGCAUAGGUAUUCUUCCCGUUUGUGUGUCUCUGUUCAAAUUUUCUGUUCUUGGAAGGACAUUAGUCAUACUGGAUUAGGGAUUGGGGGCCCACCUUUUCGCUCCUUCUUUUCUUCUUUCUUUUGUUUGUUUGCUUGUUUGUUUGAGACAGAGUCUAGCCCUGUCUCCUAAGCUGGAGUGCAGUGGUGUGAUCUUGGUUCACUGCAAACUCCACCUCCCAGGUUUAAGCGAUUCUCC